rnacentral:rRNA from 1 species
GAACUUUCCAGAGAUGGAUUGGUGCCUUCGGGAACUCUGAGACAGGUGCUGCAUGGCUGUCGUCAGCUCGUGUUGUGAAAUGUUGGGUUAAGUCCCGCAACGAGCGCAACCCUUAUCCUUUGUUGCCAGCGGUUAGGCCGGGAACUCAAAGGAGACUGCCAGUGAUAAACUGGAGGAAGGUGGGGAUGACGUCAAGUCAUCAUGGCCCUUACGAGUAGGGCUACACACGUGCUACAAUGGCGCAUACAAAGAGAAGCGACCUCGCGAGAGCAAGCGGACCUCAUAAAGUGCGUCGUAGUCCGGAUUGGAGUCUGCAACUCGACUCCAUGAAGUCGGAAUCGCUAGUAAUCGUAGAUCAGAAUGCUACGGUGAAUACGUUCCCGGGCCUUGUACACACCGCCCGUCACACCAUGGGAGUGGGUUGCAAAAGAAGUAGGUAGC